rnacentral:lncRNA from 1 species
UCAGAUCUUUUUUACAAGAUGGUAUAAUUUCGAUAGGAUAAAAAUAAUUUUGAAGAGAAGAUAGGAUAAAAAUAAUAACAUAUAUUAAAACCAUCAAAAGAAAAACGUAAACGUUGUGCAUGGGAAAAGACGAAGCCAGAAUAAAUAGGCAUGUCGAUACGCACGUGGCCUUCACCCCGGCCUCACUCUUUAUUUCUUCUCCUCACCUCUCUUUCUCAUGUCCGCACAAGGUGGUGGAGCGGCGGCGGCUAUGGAGGUGAAUUCGACGGAGUUAAAAGAGAAGAUCUGCAGUGGCGAUGAAGGUUGACGGCUCCCCUCCCUCCCCCUCCCCCACUGAGGGUAGAAGAGGUAGAUCCGUUGGCCGUGGGUUCAAGGAGCGGUGGAUCGGGUGAUCAUGGUCCUCGGGAGGCUGCAGAUCGACGCCAGGCCUCCUGCCGAUAGCGCCUAUGAGAACAUCCCUCUCUCCUACUGUUGCAUUUUAUCGAUUUGUGAAUUUGAAUGUGAUAGAAAUUAUAACUUGUGAAUUUUUAAUUGUAUUGUGGAAUUCGAGAUUGUGGAUUUGGAGUUUAUGUAAUUGAGAAUCUCACUAGCGGCUACUAGAUUCGAUUAGAGGCUUAAUUUUGUGAAUCUAAUCAAUAUUCGCCAAAAGUUCUUUGCGUGGUUGCACAAUGCUAUCCAAUCGUGUUAAUCCACACAAAGCAAGUCUCUUCACCUGUAAAAAAUAAUUUCAUAAGCGGUCUAUGAAAAUAUAUUUUCAUGUG